GCGCAUGGGCUCCCGCCGCGUCUCUUCGCUCGCCCGCCCUUCCGCGCGCCGCGUUUGCACAAAGAAACGUGUUUCCGACGAGUUCCCCUCUCCCCGGCCCGGAAUUCUUGGUCGUUCUCAGCUGUUCCGUCAAGUUUCUGUUUUCAGGGGAAGAUAUUCAAUUCUUCAGUUUUUUUCUUCUGGACAAGAAAAAUCUGAGAUAUUACUGUUGAAAACAAGAAGCAAUAUUUCUAGAUAUUCAUCACAAAACCUGCAGGAGCCGACAUUCACUAGCUGUUUGAUGAGGUGAAAAUGAUUAGGAAGUGAGAAAAAAUAUUCCCAGGGCCAAGUUUCUACUGCCCUCUAAUGGGCUUUUUUUUUUCUUUUUCUUUCCCCUCCCGCGUCCAGCCGAGUGGCUUUAUAUAAUGUAUCAUUACAUAAAGAUACAACAUAACAUUCCUCAAUGGCUCAGUCUCCAUUUUAGGUAGCUGCAUUUCACACCCUCCCUCCUACCUGCACAGCCCCCAGUUGCUCUCGCUGCAUAGCUGUUGAGUCAGGCUGCUGCGUUUGGCACAUAGUGUUUCAGGACUGAAACUAACUUACAACUCUGGGCAGACUAUGGUGAGAAUCUUUGUGAAAGGAUUUAAAGAGUUUAAAAAAAAAUCAAUUCAAGUUUACAAAAUGGAUAUGACUUGAUUGCUUAUGGCAGCAGGGGACUGUCCCUGCCUGUCCUCUGUUCUGAAGAUGUGAAUUUAUCUUCUUUUGUGGGCCUUCAAACUUCUCUCUGAUUCUGGCAACUGUAACACAGUAAACACUGUACCGAAAAGACUUUGAGGGUCUGAUGCUGUACAGAAACCCAAAUGUUAUUAUCAAACUGUGUUUGAUCACAGUUGUUUGUCUGUGGGCUUUUCCAGCUUAUUCCAGUAAGAGGAGGAAUUGUGAUGAGACCACAAUUCUUUUUGUUUACAUCAGUAUACAGAGCCCUAUUGUCUUGAACAGAGAUCUAAUGGAGCAGCCUGGGGAGAUUUCCUUCCUUGCAGACAGUCAACUUUUUCAACAGGACUCCUGACCCAAAAACUCAAUACCAAGACUAAAAGCUGGAACCCAGUCCUACUGUUUGGUGAAGACUGUGUCAGGACUUCUCUUAAGAAGUCCUUCAAGCUCCACUGCAAUUAGAGAAAAUGACUUUACAGCAAUAUAGGCUCUAACAAAUGCAGGUAGAUUACUCAGCACCAACUUCUCACCCUAAGGAAAAGUAGCUCUUGCACAAACACGUGCCAAGAAAGGUGCUUGAUUUAAAAUUCGUAGUUCCUCCACUUCAUAUAUAUAUUCCUAAUUCCUAAUUCCUCCACUUCAUAUAUAUAUUCUUCCUGGGAGGACUUCAAGGAGAAGCCUUCUGUCCAUGCUUCCUGUCUGGAAAAAUUCUUGCAAUUCCCCUUCUUUUGUGACAGAAACUUGGUUUUCUCUUAUUGUUAUCUUUGAUGACUAAACCUAUGAGUUUCAACAAAAUGCACUCUUGGUCCACAGGAGUCUUGUUUCACUGUCUGAAUGAAACACAAAAGUGGUUCUAUAAGCCCUGUCCAGAAUAUGUAUGUGUGUGUGUGUGUGUGUGUGUGUGUGUGUGUGUGUGUGUGUGUGUGUAUGUAUAUAUAAAAGCUUAUACAGGCUUAGCUAAUUUCAGGCUAAGUAUCUUUCUUCCAUAGUGCUUUCACACAUGAUGUACUGUUUUGUGGAAUUUGCUAAUUGACAUAAUUGACACCAUUUCUUUUAACGAGUAAUUGUUUAAGUCUUCAGAUAAUUUUUCUAGCUUCAGUUCCAGCAGCUAUACUCAGAGAUUACGUUUAACAAGACAAUUUAUGUUUCCAGUUCUAGAUUAGAAACACUGCAGCCACUUCGGAUUAAACACAAGUGAUUCCAAAAACGAUGGGCUCAAAGAAAACCCAAACAGGGCAAGACAAACACCAAGACUCUGAAGGAGGCAUCCAAAAGGAGAUUUCAAGAGUAAAGUAGCCGUAUCCAGCCCUGUUAAGGAAGGAUGCUUGGUGUACUGUUUGCUGCAGGCAUCAUCAGUCUUCAGCCACGCAGUUCCUGGAAGCCGAACCCUGAGGUCCUUGGGAAUCCCAAGCUUCCCAAUGUUUCAUUGAUGUUUCAACAGCAGGCAGGAGAUCUGAAGGGGCAAAACUCCCUUGGUAAAUGGAAGUGCAAGGAGACUGUGGAAAAAAUACCUGAAAAGUGAAAAUCAGAACAAAACAAAUACACAGCUAUCUAGAGUUGUGCAGAACUGAAUAUGGGGUGGUAAGUUCACUGUCAGAGACAUGGCGAGGGACUGGAUCCCAGAAGGUGUCCCACCAAUGACUUUGCUGUGCCUUGUGCAGCCCACCAUUGUUGUCCACAAAACAUUUUUAACAGAAGUUGGUUGGGAACAUAUUAUCUGAUCGGAACAAAGACACUUCAGAGAUCAGGCAUCUGGAGAACAGAAGACAACAUGUUCUGAAGAAGAGGGAACCCAAAACAGCCCCACAGAAAAAUGGGGCUGGUAUCCCCAGUGCCCAAGGUGGGUAAGCCCUGGGCUGGGUGGACCAUCAUCUGGGUAGUAAAAAAGAAAUCUGUGGCACAUAUUUGCAGAAAAACUAACUCUAGUGCAUAAUCAAAGGUGUCUGAGUGAAGAGUGGUUGUGUACCUGAACUUCAACUUGCCCAAAUCUGUACUGCCAUGUGACCAGAAGAGCACAGGCCUGGUACGGAUGAUAUGUGUAUCACAAUCUCACUUUCAGGGAACUACAAAGCUGCUGUCCCUACCCAUCUCUCCAUAUGCAAUAGCUGUCUUCACCCAACUCCAUCCUUUUGAGAACCUGUAAACUUAGUUUUGAAAUGUAUUUAUUUACAUCUUUCCAUUUAUACAGCCCAGGAUAGUAUGAAGGCUUUUUUUCCCUAGCUUUACUGAGCUUGGGGUACUCACUACUACUGGGGCAAUGCAAAAACAGCUUAUACCAACUUUAAACAUCUUUGUGAAUGAUAUAAAAUCAUUCAGAUUCAGAUCACUCAGAUAACCCUCCUAUUUUCUCUUAACAUGAGUGAAAGAUUUUUGUGUUGGUAUUGGAGCAGUAUCACACAAAAUAAAAUUCGGAUUUGAAUUUUUUUCAGAAAUGAACCUCUAAGAGACAGAUCUUUUUAUUCUUUUUCAAAUAUAUGCUGAAAGCAUGAAUAAGAAACUAAAACUCACGUAUGACAAUAAUUAUAGUAACAGAAGCCCAGAUACACAAAAAGCACAGGAGUAAACAAACAUAGAACAAACAAGUAAAUACACGCAUAGAAAUUACCUAGUUUCAUGAACCGGUAAUCUGGCUUUAUGGUGACUAAUGUAAAUUAAAAAUUCUGUAAGCCAUGAUACAAAAGUGACCAUCCGUAUAAGGUGACUUUGAUGGGGGUGACUUUAUGUCAACAGAAUUUUUACGAGAUCACAUGCUGAGAGUUUGUUCUGCUUUAAGGGCCAUGUUUAGCUAACUCAUGGACAUUUUUGCUGUUACUUUCUUUUCCCAUUCCUACUUCUAGUGCUGGAACAUCACCGACUGUUGAUGUCAGUAUUUACUUGGUAAGGAGAUCUUUGAAAUAAGGAGCUAACCCCAUGAAGGAGACAGCAAAUAAAAGCAGAUUUUCCUUUCAAUAAAUCACACUUCUGAACCCA